rnacentral:rRNA from 1 species
UAAGACCUCGCGCUAUUGGAGCGGCCGAUGUCCGAUUAGCUAGUUGGUAGGGUAAUGGCCUACCAAGGCGACGAUCGGUAGCUGGUCUGAGAGGAUGAUCAGCCACACUGGGACUGAGACACGGCCCAGACUCCUACGGGAGGCAGCAGUGGGGAAUUUUGGACAAUGGGCGCAAGCCUGAUCCAGCCAUGCCGCGUGAGUGAAGAAGGCCUUCGGGUUGUAAAGCUCUUUCGGCCGGAACGAAAUCGUUCAGGCUAAUACCCUGAAUGGAUGACGGUACCGGAAGAAGAAGCACCGGCUAACUACGUGCCAGCAGCCGCGGUAAUACGUAGGGUGCAGGCGUUAAUCGGAAUUACUGGGCGUAAAGCGUGCGCAGGCGGCUUCCUAAGUCAGAUGUGAAAUCCCCGGGCUUAACCUGGGAACU